rnacentral:SRP_RNA from 2 species
GAACCUCCCCAGGGCCGGAAGGCAGCAAGGAUAAGCGGGCUCUGGCGGGUGCACGGGGGGCCUU